rnacentral:rRNA from 1 species
CAGUAGCCGCGGUAAUACGGAGGGUGCAAGCGUUAAUCGGAAUUACUGGGCGUAAGGCGCACGCAGGCGGUCUGACAAGUCAGAUGUGAAAUCCCCGGGCUUAACCUGGGAACUGCAUUUGAAACUGUCAGGCUGGAGUCUUGUAGAGGGGGGUAGAAUUCCAGGUGUAGCGGUGAAAUGCGUAGAGAUCUGGAGGAAUACCGGUGGCGAAGGCGGCCCCCUGGACAAAGACUGACGCUCAGGUGCGAAAGCGUGGGGAGCAAACAGGAUUAGAUACCCCAGUAGUCCCUGUCUCUUAUAC